UACGUAGGGGGCAAGCGUUGUCCGGAAUCAUUGGGCGUAAAGAGCGCGUAGGCGGCCCAGUAAGUCCGCUCUGAAAGUCAGGGGCUCAACCCCUGAAUGCGGGUGGAUACUGCUGGGCUAGAGUCCGGAAGAGGCGAGUGGAAUUCCUGGUGUAGCGGUGAAAUGCGCAGAUAUCAGGAGGAACACCAAUUGGCGAAGGCAGUUAACUAUUCGAGUCCUGACGUUGAGGCACGAAAGCGUGGGGAGCAAGACGG
rnacentral:rRNA from 1 species